rnacentral:misc_RNA from 1 species
GAUGAAGAACGCAGCGAAAUGCGAUACUUGGUGUGAAUUGCAGAAUCCCGUGAACCAUCGAGUCUUUGAACGCAAGUUGCGCCCGAAGCCACUAGGCCGAGGGCACGCCUGCCUGGGCGUCACACGUCGUUGCCCCCCCAUCUACUCCUUCGGGAUUGCGGGGGGGCGGAUGAUGGCCUCCCGUGCGCCUAGCCGCGCGGUUGGCAUAAAUACCAAGUCCUCGGCGACGCACGCCACGACACUCGGUGGUUGCGAAACCUCGGUUGCCCGUCGUGUGCGUUCGUCGCGCAUCGAGGGCUCGAAAAAAUGCUCGGCUCCGGCUGGGCUUUCAACGCGACCCCAGGUCAGGCGGGGUUACCCGCUGAAUUUAAGCAUAUCAAUAAGCGGAGGA